rnacentral:rRNA from 1 species
CCUACGGGAGGCAGCAGUGAGGAAUAUUGGUCAAUGGGCUUACGCCUGAACCAGCCAAGUCGCGUGAGGGAAGACUGCCCUAUGGGUUGUAAACCUCUUUUGUCAGGGAGCAACGCCGGCUACGUGUAGCCGGACUGAGAGUACCUGAAGAAAAAGCAUCGGCUAACUCCGUGCCAGCAGACGCGGUAAUACGGAGGAGGCGAGGGUUAUCCGGAUUUAUGGGGUUUAAAGGGUGCGUAGGCGGAAUGCCAAGUCAGCGGUAAAAUCGCGGGCCUCAACCUCGGUCCGCCGUUGAAACUGGCGUUCUGGAGUGGGCGAGAAGUAUGCGGAAUGCGUGGUGUAGCGGUGAAAUGCGUAGAUAUCACGAAGAACUCCGGUGGCGAAGGCAGCAUACCGGAGCGCAACUGACGCUGAGGCACGAAAGCGUGGGGAUCGAACAGGAUGAGAUACCCGAGUAGUC